rnacentral:rRNA from 1 species
GGAUACGCACGUCUACCAUACAGUCGAGCGGUAGAGGGAGCUUGGUUCCUUGAUACCGCGCGCACGACGGUGAGAAACGCUGCAUGACGACCUCACGCCUAGUGCAGGGGGAAUACACCCAUNAUCAAAAUUUGAGAUGCAUAUGCACCCACUAUACUGUACCUCAGCGAGUGAGCAAUCGCUUUGGGUACCAUUCAAGAUCUUUGUCGCGUAUCAAGAAUGAGGCCAUGCGUCAUGCAUUAGCUAGUUUGGGGAGGAAUGGGCUCUACCAAGGCAACAACCAUUACUGGUCCUGAAAGAUAAAUCCCCCCCCCUGAUCCUGAAACCCGGACCAAACCCCUACGGAAGGCACCAUGGAGAAAUAUUGACCAUGGGAGGCAACUCGAACCCACCCUUGCCCCGGGGAGGAUGACGGCCCCAUAUAGUGAAAACUGCUUUUGUGCGAGAAAAGAUGUAUCUACAAGACCAUGUUGGACUGACCCUUCCGACUAAAGAUCGGCUAACUCCCUGCCUGCCACCGCCCUAAUACAUACGAACCGAGCGUUCUCCGGACUCAUUGACUGUAAAGGAAUCGCACGCAGGUUAAUCAGUCAGUGGUAAGAUCUUGCCCCUUAACUCGUCCUGUGAACUGUGAUCCUGUCUGACUUGCAUUGUAUCGAAAUAACUAGAAUAAAUUUCGUGUGUAUCAAAUGCUUGCAUAUUACAUAGAAUGCCCAUCGCUAACGCAGGCUACUACCUACAUCUGGAC